rnacentral:rRNA from 1 species
UACGUAGGGGGCAAGCGUUGUCCGGAUUUAUUGGGCGUAAAGAGCGUGUAGGCGGCUAGAUAGGUCCGUUGUGAAAACUGGAGGCUCAACCUCCAGCUGUCGAUGGAAACCAUCUGGCUAGAGUCCGGAAGAGGAGAGUGGAAUUCCUGGUGUAGCGGUGAAAUGCGCAGAUAUCAGGAGGAACACCCAUUGCGAAGGCAGCUCGCUGGGACGUUACUGACGCUGAGACGCGAAAGCGUGGGGAGCAAACAGG